CCUACGGGUGGCAGCAGUGGGGAAUAUUGGACAAUGGGCGAAAGCCUGAUCCAGCCAUGCCGCGUGUGUGAAGAAGGCCUUCGGGUUGUAAAGCACUUUCAGUGGGGAAGAAAGCCUUGGGGCUAAUACCCUCGAGGAAGGACAUCACCCACAGAAGAAGCACCGGCUGACUCCGUGCCAGCAGCCGCGGUAAUACGGAGGGUGCGAGCGUUAAUCGGAAUUACUGGGCGUAAAGCGCGCGUAGGCGGUCUGAUAAGCCGGUUGUGAAAGCCCCGGGCUCAACCUGGGAACGGCAUCCGGAACUGUCAGGCUAGAGUGCAGGAGAGGAAGGUAGAAUUCCCGGUGUAGCGGUGAAAUGCGUAGAGAUCGGGAGGAAUACCAGUGGCGAAGGCGGCCUUCUGGACUGACACUGACGCUGAGGUGCGAAAGCGUGGGUAGCAAACAGGAUUAGAUACCCUGGUAGUC
rnacentral:rRNA from 1 species